rnacentral:rRNA from 1 species
UACAGAGGUCCCAAGCGUUGUUCGGAAUCAUUGGGCGUAAAGCGCGCGUAGGCGGUUGCUUAAGUCGGAUGUGAAAGCCCUCGGCUUAACUGAGGAAGUGCAUCCGAAACUGAGCAGCUAGAGUACGAAAGAGGGUCGCGGAAUUCCCGGUGUAGAGGUGAAAUUCGUAGAUAUCGGGAGGAACACCGGUGGCGAAGGCGGCGACCUGGGUCGAGACUGACGCUGAGGCGCGAAAGCGUGGGGAGCAAACAGG